GACAGUUGUUACCAUGCAACGAGCAGACGCUUGCGAAAAGUACUUGCUACACAAUUGGCAAAAUUGCCUGCUGCUGUAUACAUAGCGCGCGUGUGUGUAUGUUGCUAACCUAGCUAGUUAGCUAGCCAUCAAUAAAGUUCCCAAUGUUACAACAUGGCAGACGGCUGGAGCACCGACACCGGAGAGGCUGCCUAUCGUUCCCGGGAUGCUGUCAAAAACCUUACAAUUAAGAUCCGUAUUCAGAGAGUCACCUCCACAGCAGCCCUCUCCCAACACCUUCAGCAGCAGGUUUGGACUCAACAGGAGAGGGGAGGCAUUGAGCUGGACACCCUCAACUCACAGACUCAAUCAGCAUUCCCAGAGUAUGGUGACGCAGGUCAAGUCCAAUCCUACCUUACUGGCACAUAGGAUGGCCAAUGUCAGACACAGACGACAGGACAGACGCCCAGUUGACAGCACCAUCCCCAAGUCCAGGCUGAUUACCUGGGAGCCCUUGUAGGACUUUGUGAAGACCAGCCACAUGGUCAACACACCUGUACAGACCAUGCACAUCAUGGGGGACCUGGGACCAGCAGGCAAACUUGGCCAAAAGGAGAAGGAAUGCUUGUGCACGAUAAGAGCAGAUGGAAAUGGAGUGGUUACCAUCAAACCAGACUUCAACAAAGGCAAGGAGCACUACAGGCCAGUGACCUGCACCCGCUGAAGUCAAAAUAUUUUACCCCUAGCUCAAGUAAGGGUCACUUACUUGGUAGCAGAAUUUAUACAUUCCCAGCCAUUUACUGUGAUAUGAUGCUGUUUGUUUGCACCCAAGGUUGAGACGGAGGGGGAGAAGAGGGAGGUGUGGCGACAGAACAGCAGCAGUGCAUAUAUU